AUUCACGCUAAUGUGGAGUAUGUCUUUCGGGAAGGUGACAUCAACCUACCAAGUGACUUCCUGGCUGCGAUACUGGCAGUUAGUGGUCUGGCCACCACCGCAGCUCCCACCACCACAAGCAGCCCUGUCCUCCUGCUGAUCACAAGUACUGCAGGCAGGUUCCCUGGAUGGGCCCUGGCCAUCAUCAUCCCCUGCGGUAUCGCCAUCAUCCUCUGCCCUUUCUGGACACUCCUGUGUUGCCUGCUGUGUGGUUGCUGUGCGGCCAUUAAGAGACGUUGGCAAAGGAGGCACGCCUACCACAUACAGCAGUACAGGACACAUCUCAUCUGAGAAUCUUACCUGCCACGUCCCCUCUGAGAGGGUGGAGCUUUGACGUUCAGCUGGAGUCUGAAAACCAAGUCUUAAUAUGAUUCAUGUUUUAUUAUAAUGUUCUAACAUAUAUGACCCAUAGCAACUGCAUGGCUGGAUGGAAGAUAUUUAUCAUUAUUUAUUUAUAUCUAUUAAAUGUGAGAAUUAACUGCUCAGCUGCAUCAUACCCAGGCAUUCAAAAGUAAAUCUGCACGUAUUUAUCUUUCUAUCAAGCAUUAUUUAUUUAAUUAAAGGUUAACUAUGUAUUGCGUA